rnacentral:rRNA from 1 species
UACGUAGGGCGCGAGCGUUGUCCGGAAUUAUUGGGCGUAAAGAGCUCGUAGGCGGCCGGUUGCGUCUGCUGUGAAAUCCCGGGGCUUAACCCCGGCGUGCAGUGGAUACGGGCCGGCUGGAGGCAGGCAGGGAGAAUGGAAUUCCCGGUGUAGCGGUGAAAUGCGCAGAUAUCGGGAGGAACACCGGUGGCGAAGGCGGUUCACUGGGCCUGUACUGACGCUGAGGAGCGAAAGCGUGGGGAGCGAACAGGAUUAGAUACCCCGUGUAAGU